ACCCAGCUGUUAUGUUUACCACCAAAAUGCAGCCACCUUUGGGGUGGAAGGCAGCAGACACCUCUUGCAUGCCAAGGUCCAUGCAGCAGUUCUCAAGCCACCCCCCCCCAUAGGGCCUGUGCAAGGGGACAAUGGUAGAAUAGUUGCAUGAAGAGGACUCCAACCCCCUUGGGCACCAUAUGGGGGUCUCCAGGUCAGCCCAAAUAAGCUAAAGUGAGGGGUAGCAACAGGGACCAUCUAGACAUCACGGGCUGCAUUGUCAUGAACCCAGGGGCCCUAAUACACCAUGACAGCCUGGACCCUAGGCCCUGAUUUCCCUGAUUUUGUGCAGAUGCAAAGAAAUUCAAGUCCCAGAGAGGCAGGAGAAUGCUUCAGAAUCCCAGCUGGGUCUCAGGUGGAGGGAAGCUGGGGGGGGAGGUAGAGUGCACUCCCCAACAGCCACCAUCCUGUGCUCCAGAAUCUCAGUUUUCAUACCAAAAUAAAAGAGCAAGUCCCUGGACCUUGGGGUUACAAUGAAAACCUUCCAAACUGCAGCAGCCUGAAACAGCAACUUCCAGAGCGUUCCCACUCUGGAUUUCUGACAGGCUGGAGCAAAGGUUCUCCCUCACCUGGGCACAAGGCUUCUCUGAGGGCUGUGAAAUUCUGUACCGAAUCGACACUCCCCAACUGUUCUCUCCAGUCCUCCUGCCUGCCAGGGAGCCUUCCUGCAUGUGAAUCACUUCAGUGAUUCGAGCCAGGAGCAGACCGCGCCGGGGAAUGUGCCGCUCAUGAAAAUUUCAAUGAGAAUGUAUCAAGGAUGCUUUUUGAUACAGUGUUUUACAUGUGAAAUUAACGAAGGGAUGUGCAGUGAAUGCAACCAGCUUUGGGCCAACAGCAGAACAUGAGCUGUCAUGAAUUAGAUCUGAGCUGGACCAGCCUUUGGCUUCUGGAACUUUGAGCGCGUUUGAAAUUGAAAUUUAGAUCCAGAUCUGAAUGGCAUGAUCCCAAACCCUGCAUCCAAACCUUUUGUGGGGGGAUGAGAGGGGUUGUCAUAAUCUAGGCUCAGGGACAGAUUCCAUCGCGGCAGGGCCCAGUGGUUGUUACUGUGCAACAAGGGGCAGAGAAGGAUUCCAGGUGCUGUGCUGGUUCUGCCAUGACCAGCUUGUCGCUGCUCUUUCCUGAAGCCGGGAGGCCAGGGGUGGGAGGGGAAGGGUCCUGGUGCUGUGGCAAUUCUAGCCCAUGCUGCAGCCCAGGGCUGUGGCCAAUUAGAGCAGCUGGGGGCUGCUUGCACUUUGGGUAGUUUCAGCUCCUGGAGCAGCUGAGACUCCAGAAAGCCUUGAGUGUCAGCAGCCCCCAGCUGCUCCAGUCAGACCCCUGACUUCCUCUGGGCCAAUGCAAGCCGCGGCUGGAGCCUGGGGGAUGGCUGAAAAGAGCUCAGGGGACUUUCAAACAUGAGGUUCUGGG
rnacentral:lncRNA from 1 species